UUUCCUUGUCAGACUGAUAAUAGACUGUGUCGGAAUGUGCUGAAAAACACAAAAAGAAAAAGUUGCCGCAAUUCAAAUUGUCAUGGCAAUAUCCAAAUUUUUCAAAAAGUUCGGUUCUGUUUAGCUAGUCACUUUAAUUUUCCUUCUCUAACUUGUCUCCAUUCUCUACCGUAAUGAUAAUUCUUUAUAUGACUGUCAGCCCUUUGCAUUGUGACAGCUUAAAUUAAUGUUUUGAUAUUUCUCUCUUUGUAAGAAUACAACAAAGAAGACAACUGCCAAGGAUAGGACAGAAACUGUAUGAAUGUAAAACAGACAUUGUGCACCAAUAAAGCCAGAAGGAAUAAUUUUCAUUUUAUUGACUUGUUAAUAAGCUUUUGCAACAACUCAUCCUGAAGGGGUUGGGUUCUGUAGGCUAGCGUGGCCUUCUGUUUCAUCUGGAUCACAGUAAACUUCUUACUGAAGAUCUUGAAUGCUUCUGGGAAUAGUUAGCCCAUUCAGGACUUGGCCUCACCUGAGAGAAGAGGAAUUUAAAUGAAAGUAGAACAAAAAAUCAAUUAAUCCAUUCUUUGUGACAGAAGCCACCAGAUGAUGCUGUUACUCUUACAGCUUCUUAGCAUGUGAGCAAGAUUUCAGUUUUUGAAGGAAUGCUGCAUUGUUAUUAGUUUAGUUUUACAGUAAUCCUCUGAGAGAAGCUAGUAGCAGAAUGUGUUUUCUACUUUAUUCUCUAUAUUAGGAUGCAGUUCUUGGGACAAAUUACUUUCCUUGGAGCUAAAUUUCAGUGCCUCGCUGAGGUUUCUGGAAAUAGCAGGAACAUUUGUGAUAACUACAGCUACUACUGCCACGAGGCGAAAAAAAAAGAAAAAAAGGCAAAACAAGUUUCACUUCGCGGACAGUCCGCAUAACUUUCUGUUCCAUCAACAGAGAGACAUACCAAACCUCCAAGUUAUGUCACUGUACAGGAAGAAGUGACAGUUGGCUCAGAAGGAGGACUCUGAAGAAGCAAAGGAAACACUACGUCUUUGGAUAUGCUGGGCCAUAUAAGGAAAGCUAUAAGAAGGGCAGGCACUGUUUGGAUCACAGACCAUCCCUUUGACCUGUAUCUUUCCAUGUUUAAUAGAGUACUGGUCCCAGAGAGCUUCAAAUAAUAGAUCAGAAGUGUGAAACAUCCUAUUUAUCUUAAUGGGCCACAAGUGCUGAAGCCUAGGGAUGAAAUAUUUAAUAUCAGAUUUGUCAAAUAUUUCACUGCUGAUGGGAUCAUUUUAGCAGAAAUGACCAAUGACAGUGCUUAUCCAUCAAAUUGAAGUUUUAAUAUAAAAAAUAAAUAACUCAGGAGACAGGGCAUUCAGUGGAGGAUUCAUUUAUGCAUUUUAAUUAAAAAUCGGGAUUGUUUAAAUGCAAAUGAAGCAAACACAGAAAUGCCAGCGCACUGCAUCGGCAUGCUUAGCAUCACAGCGGCAGCAGAGGUUUGGUUCCGUCAGCUGUGGUGAUGACAGGAUGCUGAGUGAAGGAUACGAGGAAGUUUUACUGUAUCUGCAGAAGAUACUGCCAUCGGCUGUGCCUUCCUUGCUUCUACCAGAGGAAACAACCCCCACAGCUGUCAUCUGGCGAAAAUGAGAGCUUUUGCCUCAGCCAAGCUCUUAAUGGGCAGUAAUCUGUUAAACUAGAAAGUUUCACUGAGGGGUGCGUGCCAGAUCUGAACUAGGCAAGAUUAAAUUAUUCUGCUUAUGCUAGGAGGAGAGAGUGAAGUGGGAUACGUGUACCCGAGAUUAUCUUUGCCCUUGAGUUUCUAAGCUUGGCUGCCAUUUUAUAUAAAAGAAGUUCUGUUUACUUUUUAUGGAUUUUAUAAGAAAGAAUAAGCAAGCACGUACAAAAAUCAAGCAAGCACGUUACAGAGCUAAUGCACCCAGGCUUUGCUAAGCCAAUUAAGCAAUCCAAUCAAGGUCACAGCUGAGAGGGACUCAAUAGAUCAAUGAGAUUGAAUGGCCAAAAUUAAUACAAGGGGAAAUUAAAUCAAAACAAGGAGAUUGAGACUGAAUUUGUUUUGUUAGUCUUUGGCUGGGGAUUUUUAAGGGGAAGCAGGUUUCUUUUCAGUCUAAAGUCACAGCCAGUAUUCAGCUCCAAGUUUAUGCGCCUGGACAGCAGAAGAUACAAGUAUUUAAAGGAUGUUUGUGUCCAUCCGGUACAAGGUCUGUGCUGGUCCUUCCCAAGUGAGGCUGUCUAUAGUAAAAGGUGAUCCUGGCUGUUUCAUUUAAGGAAGUACAGCAACUAUAGUGCUCUCAACAGCUUUCCUUCAUUAUUUUCUCCCUUAAAUCUCACUGUUGUAGCAAGUUAUUAGCUUGCUGUUCUGAUUCUCCCCUUCUAGCCCAGAGAGAAUCUUUCCAUGGAAGUGACACAGAUGACAGGCAAAUCAAGCAGUAACAGCUUCGGGAAAAAAAUAAUAAAUCCAGAAGAAUCUACCUAAUUAUACGGAAGAUUUGCCGAGUUUGGUGUUUACUUUUAGGGACCUGUAUGUAGUGCUGUUUCUCCAUUAUAGAGUGCAAAUAUGCAAGUGUGUGUUUGAGAUAAGGCAGUAUCGUCCUGGUAUAAUGGAAAGAAAAUGAAAUGAAAGAGUUCAAAAUGUUUUAUUUCUUGAGAUCCUUCGCUUGUGGUGGUGUCAGCAGCUGUAACAAAGUUUCAGGUUGAAUGCAACUUGCAAUUAUGUUGAAGAUCUCAGUGGUAGUAGCACAGCCAGUAACAAGCCUCUUACCAAUUUUUUCCCUAAAUUGUGCAGUCACAAGAGGGAAAAGCUUUAUGUCCAGAAGCUGUCUGUGCUGGCUGGAAAUAAAUGCUCUUCUUCCUUUCGUGGUCUUCACUUCUUUAAGAGUCCUGCUUAUGGUGAUUGAAGAACACAUCUUGCUGCAGCUGAUGUUGUCUACUAGAGGAGUCUUGGGCCAUAUGGCCACCAGGAUGAGUGCUCACUAUCAUGCAACAUCUGCUAGGCUAACCGCGGGCAUAUAUUUGUCCAAAACUGAGAUAUGGGAGGGCAGGCUGUGAAAAUUUAUGUUUACUUUCUGGCUUAGUAAAAAAGAAAUCAAGACACUACAGUAAAACACUUUAAAAAUAAAAUUAUUUCUUCAUGAGUACUUUUAUGGCAGUUACUUCUUUACCCUAUGUUAGGGAGCUAAUGUAGAUAAAUUCAUAUCCUACCUUAAAGAAACACUCUGCUUUUAUUAUUCCAUUAGGCUAAAUUUCACUCAUAAUUACAGUUUUUCUAGGUCCAAUUCAAACUGAUAGUGAGAAACAGAUUUUCUCUCUCUUAAACAUAGGCUAGAGGACCUUGAAUACAGAGAACUGGACUGCAAGGGAAUAAAAGUGGGGACUGCCACCCUGCUUCAGCUGGAAGGAAGCUCUGAGUGGGGGCAUGUGGAGCAUCUCCUCCCCUCAUUGCCUGCAGGGAAUGGGUUCUCGAUGUGUCAGGUCACAUCAACCACCAAGCCCCAUACGUAGCCACAUCCAGGGACACUGGCAGGGUUAUGAUGGUAGGGCACAGAUGAGAGUCUAGGUUUCAUAUAGAGGAGGGGAGAGGGAACAAAAAGGAGCUGUCUUGUUUGUUUGUUUGCACAUCCCACAGGGAUUUGCAAGCCUCGAAGCCUGCUUUGCUGACCGUUUCUGUUUCAGCUCCACGCAGAGCAUGCCAGUGGCUGCUGAGCAACUUGUGUGAGUGACUACUACUCAGCAUGAGCAACGGGUUGCAGAGCCAGGCCUUCUGUUUGGGCAAAACCCAACAACACUGCUGAAUUAAAGACGUAAUUGGGGUUUUGGCAAAAUUGCAACACAGCUGCCCAAGGUCAUCUCCAGUGAAAGUAGCUGAGGAGGUUUACACAGAAGAUGUUAAUUGGAUUUUCGUUUUCUCUUUAGAAAGGUUCAGAGCUAUCAGAUCUCACCACACUACAUGCUGCAUGAAUAUGUCCAAUGAUAUUGUGAGCUGAUUAUUGUUCGUUCUUAACGGCUUUCCAUCUCCGUAACAACGGUAUUAGCAUUAAUAUUGUGCCCAGGGCUCUAAAUAUGGAUACUAAUGGAACUCAAUCAGCUCUUAAAGAACAAAGGAUCCCUUUUAUAUGGCACCCAGUGACAGUUAGAGGAUUGGAUUAGCAACUUGUCAAUCCUUCGUUUUGCAGCUUUUUUUUUUUUCUGAUGCCUUCUUGAAUGCUUGGAUACUAUGUAAAAUUACAUUAUCUGAAAAAUUAGUACAAAACAUUAAGUGAAAGCUAUGUGCUACUCCCUCCUGGCCUGAUUAUUCUAGAUUAUUUAACUAAGUAGCUAGGAUACCCCUAAUUUAAGUGCUGAAUUUCCACAACACAAAAUGCUAUCUUUUCUCAUAAAGGAAGCCCAGAAAAGAGCAAGCUCGAUUGCCAAUUAUGCUUCUUCCAUGAAAUCUCUUCUAUCCCCUUCAGGAUAGGCUUGGGUGAAAAUAUAAUUGCAGUGGAUAAGGAAGCUUAAGAAAAGAUACAAAUGAAAAAUGUUACGUGUUGGCAUCUGAUUGAUCCAUUUGAAAAGGAAUAGAAGGAGAAUUUGAUGAGAUGGUAAGGAGCUGAUAGUUUGUUUCGAAGGAACCCGGCAUUUUUAACCUGUGCAGGGUGCUGAGCUAUAAUUAAGAACGGCAAGUCUGUGAAAAAUCUAUUUAAACUCCUGACAGCUUCUCCAGAUUUGCAUUUUUGACAUCUGCAUUCACUCUGGCAAAUCACUAAUGUGAUUUUUUUCAAAAUUAUAUUUUUAUUGGCUUUCUGCAUAUAAUAACAAAGUAACAAUGAUGUUACAGCCUGGACAGGGCUUUAACUCAAAAGCUCAGUACUUACAAUGUGCUUAAUUAGCUGCCUGAUUAUUGUUUUAUGCUGAAAGAAGUUUUGUAAAUGUGUUUUCAUCUAUAAAGCAUCUUUAAAGUGAAGCAACUGUUUGAUUCCAUUAGUUUGUGAAAACUAUAGCAAACCCUGGAUAACAAAGCAGUAUGAUUAAUUGAUAUCAAGAUACUCAUCUCUCUAUUUUUUUUCUCUGAGAUGGUUGAAGAACUGAAUAACAAAACAAAUAUUUGGGUGAACUUUGAGUUAUAUAAGUCUUUCCUAUUAGUAAUUAUUCUGCAAGGGAAGGAAAAGGCUUAAACCUAGUAGCAUGAAUAUAGGGUAAUAUUUUAAAACAUAUCAGCAAUCUUCCUCAGACUGUGAAGAACUUGAAAUGACAUUUAAGUCAGAUGCACUAUGAAUGUGUUGGUUUUAAUUUGAUAGCAAAGAAAUACCAUCAUUAAUUAGAAUGCUUUCAGAUUAGUGUUUGUCUUGCAUAAUUCAACAUUUGCCAAAGUUCAGGAAAGAUAUGCACUAAGUAGAAAUUAUUACUUUGAUAAUGCUACUACAUUUCCUCUCCUUAUUUUUACUAUGGCUUUUUAAUUUGGGUAAUGAGUAUAUAUCACUAAUCAUUGCGAAAGCCUAUUACCAACACCAACCAAUCCAUCAAGUUGAGUUAAUAAUUUACUUUAUUAUAAAAAUUGUAACUGGACACAGCUGUAGAGGACUGAAGGAAACUAAAAAAAAUGCCUCUUUAGCAGAUAACCUAUUUUCCUCUAUGUACCAAAUGCCCCUUGUGCUGCAGGGACUUGUUUCCCCACUGCUGGAAUUCCAGUGGUUACUAUUAAGCUCCUGCUCAAGACUCAUUCCACUGCAGGGCAAAUGGAAAUUAAAUGCUCAAGGAAUUAGGAGAAGAUGGUCUUCUCUCCUACUUAAUUUUCCUGCGUAUUAUUAGUAGCAGCCUCUGCACUACUAAUGCCCUUCUCCCACUGUGUAGGCAUGAGUUGGCAAGGUCAUUUAUUUUUGAACGUGUUUACUGGAAAAAUGCAGUUGCAUCUGAACGAUUGUUUUGGGAAAAAUAAAAAUCUUUGGAUGAGUCAGAAGUGAAGAAAAAAAGGUCAUUUGAGAAGAUUCCAGUAGGAGAAGAAAUUGAUAAAGAAUAUGGAAAUGUAUUCUAAUUAGAAUGAGAAGUUUGAAGACUGCACCCUGUAGUGAAAUUAGUGUCUGCAGCAGACAGUGCUCCUCAUUAGCAAAUGGGGACCUCAGUUUUAUUACACUUAAACCAAGAUUCUUCACUGUGUCCUACCACUUAAAAAUAUGCAUCACUGACCACAGUGCUUGCGCCUGGGGUUAUUCUUAACCCUUUGUGCUCACGAAUAGAAAGAAACUUUGAAAGAAGCACGAGUUGGAUGAGAGAUGCUACCGAGAUACAGGGUGUAUUAUGCUGAGAUUGAAUCUUCCUUUGAAUGGUGAAAGGAUAAUAAGGACCCUGCCUACUGAAUCAUGUUAAACUGCAGCAUUUAUUUAUUUUUAGGACAGUUUUAUCUGGUGACAAUACCGUCAUUAUAGGCCUUUGUUGUUAAGGUGUGUGUAUAUUUCUGUUGUAAAACCUGAGCACCAGAAAUGCAUAAACAGCAAAGCUUUUAAAAUCAAACCCCUCCAAACAAUCACAACUCCAGUCCCUCCCCCCAAGUUUUAAUAUUUUCUCAUUAUUAUGUGUCAUAUGGGAAGGAGAAGAAAAACAAAAAGUGAAAUGGGCAAACGUUCAAAAAAGUAUAAAUUUUUUUAAGUCUUUUAUUUUUUAAUAAGAUCUUGCUUUGCCAUUAGUCUUUGUCUGCAGCUAAGAUGUCAUUGGUCUUUGUGAGAAUUGUGGUCCCGUUGGCCCCGAUGGCCUCUGCGCCCCGCACUUCACUUCUGCUCUCCUCCUGCUCCCGAUUUCCACACGGCUCAGCCUCCAUAGGGCAAGAUGCCCCUGGAAAAUGGAGAAUUGCUCACGGAAAAGAACAAAGAUUUUUUUUUUAAAACCUCAACAGCCCAGCUGUUUUGAUGAGGGAGCUGCAAGGAGUCCUGUUGCUGAAGUGCCUUGGGAUCCUCUGCUUGAAGAUGCCACCUAAGCAGCAUCGUCCCUCAUAGGCGUGCUGGGGGCAGGGGUAUCAAAGAGAGAAUAUGAGAGCAUACCAAUCACCUCGUGGCCACUGCAGAUUUGAACACAAGAAAAACACCGGGGAAAACUGGUCCAAAAGGACUAGAAUUGAGGCCGUCAGCAGGAUUCGUAUUACCUGCUUGAGUGGACGCCAGUCUUUCUGCUGGUGGUUACCGGGGUCAAAACUCGAGGCUUCCUGGCUCUUACAAGAGGAUAUUGUGAGAAGUCAACUGUGCCUUCAGUUGUUCAGACAGCAAUGUGAACGUACGUUCAGCUGACACAGACUCUGGUUUCUCCCAGGUAAGUUGGAUUAGGAACAUCGCAGUGCUAAUGAAAGUCCCCAUAUUUCAGGUUUUCAGGACUCUGAGUCAUUCAGGUCUCUUAAAUGAGUACCCUUUUCAGGAUAGAGAAGACAUAACAUCUAGAUACGAGUUAAAGUUCAAAAAGGAAAACACAAACCAAACCCUAAAAGGACAGGUUUUUAGGCCAAUGUGCAAUUUCUCUGGCAGGCAAUAUGGUUUUCUUGUAUAUAUAAUAAACCCCAGUAAUCAGAAUUGCUCUGAGCUGCCACAACCCACACUCUCCCGUGGUGCAACUCUGGUCUCUCUCACUGAUGUAUGCUAUUUCUGAGCUAAAGCAUAAGGUUUAUCAUCCCUGCUGUUCUACCCUGCAAGCAGGAGUAAAAAAGGUUGACUACUGUGUUCAGGCAGCGUCAAAUUACUGUAAAACAAGUGAGAGACUGCAGCAAUAUAUGGUGAAUCUCAGUUCUUCAGUUUUCUUUCAGAUUUUUAUUACAAAUGGGUUCCAAACUGUUGCAUUCUUGACAAGAGCAAGAGCCAUCAACUCACGUCACAUCCCUUCCAAAUUAAUAUCUGUGUAUUGGAUAUACAGAUAUGGAUUUGCAGAUGAAACCCUUUUGCAUCCUGGACAUGCUGAGGAGCACCUGGAGUGCUUAGUCUGAGCUAUGUAAUGAGUUCAGUGUCUUAAACCAACUUCCAGGCUGUCUUAGGAUACGAUAUAGUAAAAAGAUGCUAGAAAGUAUGCAAAACUAUGUAGGGGGUAAUAGCGUUACACAGAGCUCUGGGCUAGACAUAUAAAAGGAAUUAGGCCCCUCUUAACCUCCCAUGUUGUCCCCAAGCCUGACAGGGACUUCCUCAGGACCUUACUCGGCGCCACCUGAACCUGAACACGUGAAGUCACUACUUGAAGGGUCUGUGAUCCCUUUGCUGCCCCGCUGCUUGUUCCUGGGCACGUCCCAGGCUGCCCAAACCUUGGCAGCUCAGUGCUGCUCAGUCCGGCUCGGGGCAUCGCCCCCAGCUGGGCACCGCUCUGCCUGCUGCUCCUGCCACGCUCUCCACCGGGACCGGAGCUGCCUGCAUCUGCUCUAACCCAAACUGCUCGUUCAGGACAAGACCAAUAUCAAUCCUUCCUGUGUCGGAGAGGACACAAAGCUCUAUCUUCUCAGGCUGGAGGGAAGCCACUCAAUAUAUCUGCAUCUAUAGACUGGCAGCUUUCCUUUCAUCCAUCUAUUGAAAUGUGUGUGCAUGGCUGCCUCUGAGUCCAUGGCUAUAGCAUUUAGCACAGUAUCUCUAACAAGUUGUACAGCUGCAUGACAGGUUUUUGUCUGCUCUUAAUUGCUUCCACUGAAAUUCGGGCAGGGCCUAGUCAGCCAUGUCUGGCCUCAGUGGAACCCUUUGGGUUAGACUCGAAGCCAGACUGAUGUAAGUCUGCAACAAUACCCCGAAUCUGAUGGAGCUGUUUGAUAUUUAUAUCACCAUGGCUUAGGAUUUGCCCCAGCAUCUCUGCAAUGAUGAAACAGUUUAAUUCUAUGUAUUUCCCUUUGGAUGAAAUAGUAGGGAACUGACCUAUACCAUCAGCAAAGUUGUAAAGCAGGUUUUCCCCUGGUAAAACAAUACAGUGCUCAUUUCUCUGCAGUAUUUUGGCCAGAAGCAGGACUGCAGAAAUCCCACAUCAAAGCCUGAGCUUUCUUGAGCCUCGGACAAUCAGGGAAGAUUGAGUAAACUUUUGGAGUCUGCUGUUAGCCUUGGGGGAGGCUUUGGAAGGAGGCUACGGCCUCAGGCGCUCUUGCCUGCCACCUGCAAGCUGCACGCCUCGCACGGCUGCCAAACGCAGGCUGACGGAAGGGCAGCAGCGGGGAGAGGGCCCUCGCCGCUCCCACGGCCCACCGUCCGGCUGGCCUUUCCAGUGACAGUGCAAUAAGGAGCAAUGCAAGGACCAUGCAAAGGUAAAUCAGGGAGUGGCAGGAGAUAGGAUGCUGAAAGCUGCGUCAGUACGUUGGGAUGAGAGUAAAUUAAAGAGCAGGAGCGUGGGAUCAUGGCAGCAGGCGAGCUGCCGGAGUUGAAAGGCGACGGGUCCUGACCUCAUCCUGCGUCCUGGUACUGCUGCAGCCGGUCAGACCAGCCCUGCUGCCUGCACCGCAGAGAUACCACCCCGCCGCAAAAUGCCGUGAGGCCUAAGACGGGGGAGAUUGCUGUUAACCUCGCGGGUAUUGUCAAAUCUGACCUGCACACAUCGUAAGGUCUGCCACUAACUGGCUAGAGGAAGCGGUGUGAGCUCAGCCCUGCAGUCUGCCUGGGAGGAGGAGGAGGAGAAGGGAGGAGGCGGAGGAGGCUUCACCUGGCAGGGACCUUAUGGCAAAUUGCAAAAGCUCUUACAAUAGUGAGAAACAAGCUAAUUUCUUAGUAAUUAUUUGCCAAACAACAUGUAAUCAAAUAGUGCAGAACUGUCUACGAUGCAUCUUUGGGUCUUUAGGCCUUUUGUUUUGUUUUGUUUGUUUGUGGCACACUCUUCCAGCGCUUCAAGGCUACUGCAUACUGCAAAACAGUGAAGGAACAGAGUGAUAAUAGAACAAUUAACAAGUGAUGUCAUAAAACAAUGUACUUAAAAUAAAAUGCUUAAUUAAAAUAACUGAACCACGAAAAAGAUGUAACAGCAUACAGAAAAAGCACACACACAAAAAAACCAUUGAGAAUAAGUCUCAUGUAGGCACUGAAAUAUGUAAUUUAAAGGAAAAAAAAAAGCACCAGAAUGGUUAAAUAAAGAUGUGGAAUAAACCAGCAAGCAAUACACUAAUUUGCCAAAAAAUACAAUAAAAACUGUAUUUGCAGAAAAAUACAGUUUUCUGCAUUUUUGCAGAAAAACUACUCUCUCUGGUUAACAAGUCUGGACCAUAAAAGAGUCCUUUGGCGGCUCCCCGUGUCAUUACUUGCCAGGAAGACACUGCACUGAUGGGCUCACGGGGAUCCGGGGAUCCACAGUUAGAUCAGCAAGCAGGGAAGCGGAGGUCCCACCGAGUUUCCUGCCUGGAGAGCUGUUAGGAUCCAUGCUUGUUCUUUAAAGAGCAGAACUGUGUACUGCACUCAGAAUGACCCCAUUAGGAACAUAAUCUUCUGCUAGAAAUUAGAUGCUUGAGGGGAAAAAAGCCUCACAGGAAAGCUGUAAAAAAGCAGACCUGUUUGCAGUUCAUCCUAAAAAAAACGCAAUUUUUUAGGAGCUUUGCAUGCUGGCUGAAUCCUGGCUCCUGGGGAGCCUGGAGAAGUGACUGAACGGUGGCCUUCUCCUCAAGGUCUUGAUAUGAAGCAGAAAAAAAAGACAGUCAUUGGGCUGCUCAGUCUGCUUUCAACCCAGCUGGCUGCAGCUGUGAGGGUAUGUCCAGCACCUAGUGAGAGGUUGUCAUGAGGUACACAUACCUGUGCUGAUGUUCAGUCACAGCUUGUGGAGUCCUUUACUCCAGAUUCUCUGCUUUCUUCCAGCACUUUUUUAGACUGAAAACACUAAAUAGACUUGAAAGUGUGAGGCAGACGUGCUUUCCAAGAAUAAUCGCUCUUUGGCUGAUGCACAGGAGCGCUGCUCAUGCAUUUCUGGGAGAUGCUUACAGACUGCUAACUGCUCUGGAAGCCUUUCAGCCUUUGCUGCCUGCAAAUGGCGUUAUUAUUCACUAAUAGCCUCAGCUCCCCAUGUUGUCUUUUGGUUAGUUAGCAGCUAUUCUGCAAGUCGGAGACAGGGAACGAGGAACAUAUGUUUAAACAGUAGCCAACUUCUGACCUGUUAAAAAACCUGGAGGGUUUUCUCAGAGCAAUCCCCACCAUUAGGCUAGGAAGUGACUAGGAGGGAAUGUGUCAGCACUGGGUGGAGGUGUGCAUGCCAGCCUCCCACGAAGCAGACGCUGUUUCUAAGAGUGGCUUCUGGAGAGGAGGAUCUGGAGGAUGAUGUUAUUGCUGUUUCACUACCCUAAUAUGGCUGCUGACAUGAGGUCAUUGGGAAGAGGAGCGGAGGAUUUCGUGGAGUAAAAGAAGGGGCAUUGAGCUGGAGAUACACUGGCGCUUGGUCCUGAAAACCCAUUGCUCCACAUUUCCAGAUUCAAGUGGGUACCUUUUCCAGAGCACCUAAUGACAAAAAUAUGCAUAUCUCAUUAGAAGUCAGGAGGACUUAAAGCAAAAACCUUUGCUGCUUUGUUGUUCUUUUCUAAAGGUUAGGGUUUGGUUUGGUUUGGUUUCUUUAAGGUUACUUGUUCACCUGCUCAUUUCUUUUUGGAUAUUGUAGGAUUCUGUUAUUUACUGCUCAAGCAAUUCCAAAAACUGCUCUACUGACAUUUCACGGUAUUUAGUAUUGACCAAACACUACAUGAUAAAUCUUUAUAAUACUCCAGAGAGACCGUCAAGGGAGCAGUUACAAAUAUAUACAUUGCAGCAUGUUGUGUUCUGGGUUAAAUGAAAUAUAAAAUAGCAUCACCAGCCUGGGUACUAAUGGGGCUAUCAGUAUUCCAUCACACUUCAGCUGCAGGUA